rfam:Triticum aestivum genome assembly, contig: Triticum_aestivum_CS42_TGACv1_scaffold_406039_5BL
UUACUACUUCCUCCGUCCGGAAUUACUUGUCACAUAAAUGGAUGAAUAUGAAUGUAUCUAUAACUAAAAUACAUCUAGAUACAUACAUUUCUAUGACAAGUAUUUCUGGAUGGAGGGAGUACUUG